UACGUAGGGUGCAAGCGUUGUCCGGAAUUAUUGGGCGUAAAGAGCUUGUAGGCGGUUUGUCGCGUCUGCUGUGAAAUUUCGGGGCUCAACCCCGAACUUGCAGUGGGUACGGGCAGACUAGAGUGUGGUAGGGGAGACUGGAAUUCCUGGUGUAGCGGUGAAAUGCGCAGAUAUCAGGAGGAACACCGGUGGCGAAGGCGGCCAUCUGGACGGUUACUGACGCUGAGACGCGAAAGCGUGGGGAGCAAACAGG
rnacentral:rRNA from 1 species